GGCCGUUCUGAAAACUCCACUGACAUGGCGUCAUGUCAGUGCUGGCGGGUUGAUGGUACUGCCCAUGGAGCCGCCCACUGCCCUGCCCAAAAAAUUAUCAAAACACCGCCAUUAUUUCCGGCCGCUCGCUCCCAUAGCUCCGGUUAGAACCAUGGCGGAAGUACGAUCUGAAAGAGGAGGCAGCGUUUGCUCUGUUGUUGGCUGCACAAACGAGCACAAAACUCUUGAAAACUCCCUCGUCGGAGGAUUUGAGGACUCAAUGGGUGGAUUUUAUUUAUAAUGGGAAUGUACCCGCGGCACUUCCAACAUAUCUGUACAUAUGUGUGUACCAUUUCACUUCGGACUGUUUUAUCGACGAGGGACAGUUCAACGCUGGAUUUGCUAGAUGUCUGAAGAUAAUGAAUGGAUCCGUACCAACUAUCCGUGAUCCUACUACAAUCGUGGCAUCUGUAAGUGUGAACGUUUUAUUUUGACUUACUGUUUAGCCUAAAUUCCCCCCGGUGCCUCGGCACG
rnacentral:lncRNA from 1 species